GAUGAACGCUGGCGGCGUGCCUAAUACAUGCAAGUCGAGCGAACAGAUAAGGAGCUUGCUCCUUUGACGUUAGCGGCGGACGGGUGAGUAACACGUGGGUAACCUACCUAUAAGACUGGAAUAACUCCGGGAAACCGGGGCUAAUGCCGGAUAACAUGUUGAACCGCAUGGUUCUACAGUGAAAGGCGGCUUUGCUGUCACUUAUAGAUGGACCCGCGCCGUAUUAGCUAGUUGGUGAGGUAACGGCUCACCAAGGCAACGAUACGUAGCCGACCUGAGAGGGUGAUCGGCCACACUGGAACUGAGACACGGUCCAGACUCCUACGGGAGGCAGCAGUAGGGAAUCUUCCGCAAUGGGCGAAAGCCUGACGGAGCAACGCCGCGUGAGUGAUGAAGGUCUUCGGAUCGUAAAACUCUGUUAUUAGGGAAGAACAAAUGCGUAAGUAACUGUGCGCGUCUUGACGGUACCUAAUCAGAAAGCCACGGCUAACUACGU
rnacentral:rRNA from 1 species